ensembl:lncRNA
CAGCCCAGCGUCGCCGAGCGAGCGCAGGACGGCUCCGAAGCUGAGACAGUAGCCUAGGGAUCCGCACGUGGACCCUCACAUAUUAAAUGACAUUAGCCCUGAGCUAACUACUGCCAAUCCUCCUCUUUUUGCUGAGGAAGACUAGGCCUGAGCUAACAGCUGUGCUCACCUUCCUCUACUUUAUACGUGGGACGCCUAUCACAGCAUGGCUUUUGCCAAGCGGUGCCAUGUCCACACCCUGGAUCCGAACCAGCGAAAUCCAGGCCGUGGAGAAGUGGAAGGUGUGCACUUAACCACUGCACCACCGGGCUGGCCCCCAAGUUGUAUUUUUUCUUGAAUUGCCUUUCAAUUGAUUUUCCUGUUUUGUCCAGGUAUAAAAUUAACGGUAUAUGUUAUCAAUAAUAAUAAAAUUAUUCCCUUCUGUCUUCUAUUUUCACUAUUUUCUUUCUGUUCUCUGAUUCAAUGGCUGCUAUCAUAAUGGGGUGAUCUCACUCUUCAUUCGCGCAGUGCAGACGUUUUUGUUAGAGACAUAGAUUUAAUUUUGUUAAAGAACACACACUUUCCUAUUUUAUUAGAAGUUUUAUAGAACCCAGAAAUUGAUUUUUAACUUUUCAAAUAACUUUGAGGAAUCUAUUGAAAUGAUCACGUUUUUCCUCCCUUGACCUAUGAAUGUGGUGAAUUAUUCCAGUAGAUAUUCUUAAAUUGCUUCACUUUUACAUUUUUGAAAUAAAUCCACCUGGAUAUGGUUUGUUAUUCUUUUAAUGUGUUGCUGAAUUCUAUUAUAUACACAUAUACACAGACACACACACACAUUCACAUGAGCGAGGUGGAGCUCUGGUUUUCUCCAUUGUACCUUCUCUGUCCUGUUUCUCAUGUUUCGCCAUCAAUGUUAUGCUGGAUUGGUUGAAGAAAUUUGGAAUAUAUCUUUCUCACUGUAUGCUCUGAAAUAACUUAGUGUUAAAGGCUUUCGUUCCCCGAAUACUUAAUAACAUUCAUCUCUCUGGGCCUGGAACAUCUUAAGAUGGUAACUGGAAAUUUCUCAAUUUCUUCUUAGGUAAUCGGUGUUUUUAGGUGGUCUAUCUCUUUAGUGGUUAAUUGGGUAAUUUAUUUUUUCUUAGAAAAUAAUUUUUUCCCUAAAUUCUCAAUUAUUUUCUGAGAGUGGAAAAAACUAUUGUUAUAGAAUUUCUCAUUUUCUUGGCAACAGCGGUAUGCAUCAUUUUUGAGUUGGGUGGUGCCUCUGGAUUGGGGAAACCCUAGGGGAUGGAGAGGAAGGGCAGGCUGAGCAGGUGGAGCCCUCCCCGCUCCAAUCUCUCCCACCUCCAUUCCGCCCCGGCCGCUGCCCCUCGUCCACGGAAGCAGACCCACUUUACAUUUGGAGUUUCAGCUUAAAGAUUUCACUGGGAAUUCGGUCACUAGAAUAAAAGCCUGAAAAAUCACUGAUCUAGAACUAUGAAGUUGAAAUAAUAUAUUUCAAAUAUAUUUGAAAUAAUAUAUACAUAUAACAACAUGAGAUUAUGCCUGGCCCCCAAAGGAGUUUAUCCAUUCUGAUCAUUUUCAUUUGGGGGAUUUUAGGAAUGGGUUCCUAUAUGAUAUAGCGCCAUAGCAAUAAUUGUUCAGAAAGACUGAUGACCUAGGUCAAUGAGAAAGUUCCCAUCUUGUCUCUUCUUGCUGUUAAUGCAUCUUGUUCUUUUUGAAAGCAUGGGGCAGGAGAAGGGUGACUGACUUUGAAAGGCAAGGAAUGUGAAGUUGGAGGGUGGGAGCAGAGGUAGCCACUGUUCCUAGAGAAAACAAAUCAUGCAAUUUCUAACUUAACAGUUACCUCAGGAUCAUGUAAUUUGUAAUAGAAAAGGACAUGGCUGCCAUUACUCAGGGGGAAAGGAAGUGAGUAGAGGACAGCUAACACGAAUGGGGCCUUUUUCAACUGUUUCUCUGCACCAGACUGAUGUCAGGCACCCUGGGGAAAUACAAUUAGCUUAGCAGUGUCAUCAUUAUUCCCAAGGUAUUUUCAGAAAUAUCACAUUCUUCCUAUUGCUGGAAUAGACUAGAUGAUGCUCUCGACAUAGUUUAGUACCUGCCAGCUGGGUAAUGCUGGGCGCUCUGGGCACAGGACGAAGGACUGGGGCUGUCUAGGCUGGAGGGAAACAGACUCAGGGACCAGAAGAAUUAUCGUCACAUGUCAGAAGGAGACAGAUUAGACACAUUUCAUGUAAAGGCAUGAAGCUGGAUCAGGACUGGGAGCAGCUCCUGGAGAGGAUAUUUUAGCACAAGGCAAGGAAGAAUUCGCUAGUAGGGCUGAAUGCGACAGCUCAAAUCUAGAAGUACUGAAUUCUUUGUCACUGGAGGUGUCCAAGCAGAUGCUGGCGACCGGGGCCA